UACAAUUGUUACGGACCUGCCGGCUCCUCCUCCUCGUUUUGUCUAUUUGCAUCUCCCCUACAGGCACAGGCAGAACGUAACAGAAUUGGGGGCUCGUCCGGGAUCGAUCCAAAACGACGUCGCUUUCCAGGUACCGGGAUUUGCGGGAGCUCUUGGUAUGCGGGAGGGUGAUUGGAGCUGCUGGAGAGUAGAGUGGUUUUUGGCCUGUGGACAAAAGGGUUCCUGUGUCCAGUCCAUGUGAUUGGGCUGUCAACAUACCGAAACGAAAGUUAAGUGCUCAUUUUGAGUUUAUAGAUUCAUUUAAAAAAAUUAAGAAUGUUUUGUUUAUUUUUUUGUGUGGGGUUUCGAACAUUUUUAUUGCAGAGGCCUUUAGGGGCCUCUGUCUUAAGGGAGGAGGUGUUACGGACCUGCCGGCUCCUCCUCCUCGUUUUGUCUAUUUGCAUCUCCCCUACAGGUGAGCGGAGCACAGGUGUGACGGGUUUCCUAUGAUUCCUUCCAGGAACACCUGGGAUGGCUUUAUGUAUCCUGAGGGGUUUAAAAGCUGGGGAGACCUGGUGGAAGGAGGGCUGCCGCUUCUCGUUCUCUCCCGCACCGUUUUGCUGAUUUUGUUUCCUUUUACAUGACUUUUCAUAUACC
ensembl:lncRNA